rnacentral:rRNA from 1 species
UCUACGGGAGGCAGCAGUGGGGAAUAUUGCACAAUGGGCGAAAGCCUGAUGCAGCAACGCCGCGUGAAGGAAGAAGGCCUUUGGGUCGUAAACUUCUGUUCUAAGGGAAGAAGAUGACGGUCCUUAGGGGCAAGUCCCGGCUAACUACGUGCCAGCAGCCGCGGUAAUA